UGGGGAAUAUUGGACAAUGGGCGAAAGCCUGAUCCAGCCAUGCCGCGUGUGUGAAGAAGGUCUUCGGAUUGUAAAGCACUUUAAGUUGGGAGGAAGGGCAGUAAGCGAAUACCUUGCUGUUUUGACGUUACCGACAGAAUAAGCACCGGCUAACUCUGUGCCAGCAGCCGCGGUAAUACAGAGGGUGCAAGCGUUAAUCGGAAUUACUGGGCGUAAAGCGCGCGUAGGUGGUUCGUUAAGUUGAAUGUGAAAGCCCCGGGCUCAACCUGGGAACUUCAUCCAAAACUGGCGGGCUAGAGUAGGGCAGAGGGUGGUGGAAUUUCCUGUGUAGCGGUGAAAUGCGUAGAUAUAGGAAGGAACACCAGUGUCGAAGGCGACCACCUGGGCUCAUACUGACACUGAGGUGCGAAAGCGUGGGGAGCAAACAGG
rnacentral:rRNA from 1 species